AGAAGAAGAAGAAGAAGAAGAGGAAGAAGAAGUUGGUGGCACGUUCACGAAGUUCAAUCGUGGGAACGGAAAGCGACCCAGCUUGUUAAGCGGACCGGAGAAAACCGCGUUGGCCGAUGUGUGCCAACCAUAAAAGAGCAAUAAUCAGCGAGCCACGCCGGUUCAGGUCGAACUCGGCCAGUGGCCAUUGCUGGAAA